UGGGGAAUUUUGGACAAUGGGGGCAACCCUGAUCCAGCAACGCCGCGUGAGUGAAGAAGGCCUUCGGGUUGUAAAGCUCUUUUGUUAGGGAAGAAAUCUUCUAGGCUAAUACCCUGGGAGGAUGACGGUACCUAAAGAAUAAGCACCGGCUAACUACGUGCCAGCAGCCGCGGUAAUACGUAGGGUGCAAGCGUUAAUCGGAAUUAUUGGGCGUAAAGCGUGCGCAGGCGGUUUUGUAAGACAGGCGUGAAAUCCCCGGGCUUAACCUGGGAAUUGCGCUUGUGACUGCAAGGCUAGAGUGUGUCAGAGGGGGGUGGAAUUCCGCGUGUAGCAGUGAAAUGCGUAGAGAUGCGGAGGAACACCGAUGGCGAAGGCAGCCCCCUGGGGCAAUACUGACGCU
rnacentral:rRNA from 1 species